UACGUAGGGUGCGAGCGUUAAUCGGAAUUACUGGGCGUAAAGCGUGCGCAGGCGGUUAUGCAAGACAGAUGUGAAAUCCCCGGGCUUAACCUGGGAACUGCAUUUGUGACUGCAUGGCUAGAGUGCGGCAGAGGGGGAUGGAAUUCCGCGUGUAGCAGUGAAAUGCGUAGAUAUGCGGAGGAACACCGAUGGCGAAGGCAAUCCCCUGGGCCUGCACUGACGCUCAUGCACGAAAGCGUGGGGAGCAAACAGG
rnacentral:rRNA from 1 species